AUUACUGUAAAGAAAUUAUUAACAUGGGAGAUUUCUGUCAUUUCUUUUUGCUGCAAACGUUGAUGUCUUUUUUGCUAUUAAGACAACACCUCAGCUGGACUUCCUUAAGCCCAGCACUCGCUGCACUGCCUUCAGUUAUAAUGAAGGUGUACAUGUGUUGGGAAUGCAGGAAGGGUGUGACUAUACAGCUUCUCAAUGGUACAUUUAAAUGAAUGCAGACAAUUGUGUUUCAUGAUUCAACGUCUGGUGCGACAGCUUGCUCUGACCCAAUGAGCAAGAAGACGCUGCUACCCAGACCAGUGAUUUGCCGGCACAACCUCUUGCUGAAUGAAUUAGUGGAGAUACCGCAGGGAUUAACUGAAGGACCUCGCAUACCAGCCCCCCAGCUGGCCUGCCCAAGGAGCAGGGUUCAUUCUUUGGUGCUGCAUCAUAUCCUCCUGAGUGAGGUUUCUACUGUAAGCGAAGUUUCCAGGGAAGAACUUUUUGUGGAUUGGACUGCAGCCUAGUUUUAUAAUCAGAACUUCUCUUUCACGUGGUCUCUCUUGAUCUUGCUCACAUGCCCUUGCCAAAUUAUAUGACUGGUAAAGAGAGUUGAAAUGAUAAUCAUAUAGAAAAAACAAAUUUAGAGUGGGACUACAUGUACUGUGAAGAUGAAGUCAUCUAACACGUCAGUAAUACACUAUAGUAACUAAAAUUUCUGAAAUAAAAUAACCAUGCUUUAAAAACCCCCUACGAUUUUUUAAAACCCCCACCACAUUUAAUUGGUGGCACUUUUGAACUUAUUUUACCACUGUAUAAUUAAUAUUAAAUAUUACAUUUUAAUUUAUUUAUGCAUCAAUUUGCAAAUAUCUGAGAAUGUGUUGUAUUUGAACUUUUAUCAGGAGUAGGCUACAUUGCUUUGCAAAUCUAGUGUGUCAAACAUUCUAUCCUUUUGCACUGCACAAAUUCCUUCAGAAUAAAUUAUGUUAGUGCUUUUUAGCUACUUUUUUCAUUUCA